CACGUCUCCAGAAAUCCUUGACAAAGAAUAACUCCAUUUUUUCUCUGGUUCCAUUUCUCCCACCCAAAUGAAACUACAGAAACAUUUUUUUUUCUAUUGGAAUCAAGACCGAACGACUAUAUAAGCCAUCCAUGAUUCAUAUUUGGAAGUCUGGUAUACACCACACAUAUAUAUGAUACGAAGUCAUGCCUGGCUCCCUGUAUGCCACAAGUAAAUACCGAUCUCAUUAUGAAAUCGGACACUAGUGGCGUACAGAGUAGUCAAGCAUAACCACUGAUAUUCUUGAUAUAUGAGUACUUUGUUUUUGUAACACAAGAUAUAUAUGUGUGGAUGGUGGCUAGCUAUAAGAUAUAUGUUAUAUGCAUGGAUUAUGUCUAGAACUGUUAUAUGGUACUCAAUUUCACUAUUUUGAGAUCCUUUAAUUUAGUAAGACCAUAUCUAACUCUAUCUCUAUAUUCUUUUAUAAAUAAAGAAACUUUAUUAUAAAAGUAAUAUUGUAGUAAAACUAUUUCUAUGGUAAAUGUUAUCUAUUUUAGAGAAACAUAGAGAAAAAUAUAGAAGUGAAUUGCAUAUAUAUAUAUAUAUAUAUAUAUAUAUAUAUAUAUAUAUAUAUAUAUAUAUAUAUUCUAAGAUGUCAUUCAUCUUUAACUAUGCACGGCGUAAUUCAUGUAUUGCUAAGAUGUUACGAGUUUGUAAUUUGAAGAAAUGCUAAUUCAUAUCGUUUAAAAUUAUUGUUAGCGUUAGUAAGCAAGUGGUAGUAGCCUAUGGCAAUUUGGUAUGUAUCCACAUCAGUUUUGGAUUUGAUUCUUUCUUUUUUGGAACUAAAUUAUCACUACUUGGUCAGUAUGGACUUGGACUUCGGUCCAAGUGAUUUACAUGGUGGGCGGGGCAUAACAGAUGAUUGGUCCACUCCUUGGUAUUAGUCGGAAGGUAUUCCAAACUCGGGACAGACAGUAUGAUACGCUUUCGAACUAGUCCACUUUGUAGUACUAAGUGUGUUCUUUUCAGGACUGACCGGAUCAGCCGAUAGACUUUAUCAAGAAAAAAAAAAUUAUUGUUAGCGCUGUUGGUUGAACAAUAGUUGAGUUAAUCACACGGGAGUGGUCUGGUGGUGUGAAUUCCAGAGAAAUCAAGAUUGUCCAAAACUAUGUAAUAAUUAAGCCUUAGAAGGAGGAUACAUCGCCGGUACCUCGAAGCUCCUCAAGACUCAAGAGUACCACUCCAAGUCUCCAAGUUAGAGAUUCUUGACAAAGUGAAAGCCUCUCUUAUGCUAUGCGUUGUAUGCAGGAUGUUUCUUGUGACAGAAAAACUACUGUAAAGCACAAGACAUUUGUCUCUCCUUUUCAUGCAUUUGCCCCUCCCAAAAUUCCCAAGUUUGUUUAAAUUUGUUGUUUUCUUUCCUCAAAAUCAUCGACACUGAUUCAGAGGUAAUAUAGAUAUGUCAACAUAGGUAUUAAUCUAUAUUAACUGUAUGACUUAAAUGGUAAAAACCUUUUAGAUUGGAAAUGGAUCAACAUAGACAGAUUUAUGAUAACUAGUGAUAACUUGAUUGACUUUUUAACGAAAUGUUUUCUUUUUUGUGUGUGAAAAGCUAGUAAUUUGGCAACUGACUGAUUGUAUUGGUGCGAACUUAUUUCUUUCAAACAUAAACAAAACAAAUAAUCAAAUGACGUUUCCGAA